GUGAUAUUUAAAUAUAAAUUUAAUGAAAGAUGAAACAUAAUAACUCGCAACAAUAUUUGUAAACAUUUUGUUUGUUUUUUGUGUAAUAUUCAGUUUUAUUUAGAAUGUAUUAUUAAUAAAAUGACAAUAGCUAAAUUUGCUGUCAAAAACAAUGAUGUUGAAGUGCAAUGAAAAGUAUGUAUUUUACAAAAUGAAGGUGAAAUCAAUUGAAUCGAAAGGGCUUUUAAACCUAACCACUCACACAUAGUUAUGUGUGUAUAAAGUUGAAGCACUUUUGGAAGCUUGCCCCCGUUAAGGCACGUACACAUCCUGGCAUAUUGGCGCAUAUGGAGGAGAUAAAUUGCCGUUAUAACAGCGAGUGGCUGAAUGGACGCACGACACUCAUGCUUAUAGAUAUACAUAUGUGUGUAGUGCGUAGGUGUUGUAUUUAAUGUCGUGUCGCGGUCGAGGACUGUGUUACAACCAUGGCGUAUAAAGAGAAACAAACAAUGCAAUUAAGGUGGCGCUAACUACGCGCAGACUGCACCUUAAAAUGGGAUUAAAUAUAUUUUAUGUUUUUUUUAGUUGAAUACAUAAUAUUUCAAUAAUAUUGAGCAACAAUUUUAAGUCAGCUGAAUAAAAUUUACGAGUCAUUUUAUACCUGUCUUAUGAACGUUUCACAUACGAUUUUUUAGUGUUAAAACUUUAAAGCGUUUUCCAAACAACACACU